CUAGAGAGCGGCAGAUUAUCUGAAAAUAGGUGUUAUUGAUUACAACCAGGUGGUCUUUGUGGAAAGGCGUCCACUUGAACCAAAAUAAAUAUUUGCCGGCACAAAGAACAAGCCGGUCCCUGUUGCGGGGCGGGGGCGUUCUGGCGGCCGCGCCAGCAGCCAGCGGCCCCUUCUGGCCUCCGGCGGCCGCGGGGCGCGUCGCUGCGCAGCCCGGGGAUUGUGUUUCUUCAAUUAGGACAGAAACGCGCAGGGGGUGGCCGGGGGAGCACAAAGGCCCCGCCGCCUCCAGUGCCAGAGGCCCGCGGCCGAGGGCCGGCUGCAGGCUCGCAGCCCGCUCGGGCCUGGCGAUCGUAUUUUCUUUGGCUUUCUGGCGCGCUCCUUAUUAUUUAUUUCUUUUCUCUCUGUUUUAUUUUUAUUUUCAAGUUGCCGGCCGGGCUGGAUGCCGUCCAUUCACCCCGCUGCCUUGGAGCGCGGCGCGCAGACAGCCGGAGCCGGCUCGGGCUCAGCCCCGCGACUGGGUCCCUGCCUCCUGCCCUGGGUGAGCGCGGACAGCCUCUCGGGGGCGCCCCAGCGGGCGUGCGUUCCCACCCCCUUCCCCAGGUCUGAGGAAUCUUCUCUUGCCUCCCCAGAUCCCCAACCCAGCUUCUCAGGAGCCAGCGGCCAUUCCCCGGAGAGAAGUGGGGAGGGUCUGGCCUCUCCAUCAGUUUAGGGAGACCGAGAGCGCGGGGGCCAUUACCACGUCUUGAAGAGGCUCUGGGGAGCCUUCCACCCGCACCCGGCGGCUAGAGGCGGUUAUCCAACGUCAAGGGUGGAGGGCUGGAGGUGGAAAAAGACACCGGAGCCUAGGAAGCAGGAAGGGCCUAACUCAGAGCGAUUCUGGAAGGCAGAUAGAAAAGCUGGGGUCAGAAAGUAGAGAGACGGGAAGGAAAUCAGAGAUAGAUACAGUAAGCCAUUCUUGUCAAGAUCAGACAGCGGGAGAGCCUAGGGCCCGGCUGGCCAACUGAGGCAGGAGAGGGAUCGGAAAGGAAUCCCACAGCUCUGAAGUCCCCACAUUACAGACCUGGUGCUUCUCCCUGCAGGUAACAGGUUCCUCCCUAACCCAGCGUCCUCUUGCUUCCAGAAGACAUUCCUGGUGGCUGCUUUGCCGUGGUCUCUCUGCCGGCAGUGUACUAAGUGUUGUCAAGUAGAAUUUCAAGACACUUACAACAUCCCUGCCUCUGUCCCUCUUUGGCACCAAUUUCCUUCCUUCCCCAGAUCAUAGCAAGAGCUGCCAUUAAGUCCAACGUGGCAUAAAGCAGUAUGCCACAGGCCAGCCCCUGUGGAGUUAGCGUGACUUUCCAUUCCAGAAGGGAACUCAGGGCAUGGAGAGACAUCGGUAGGUGCCUCAUUAUGCCUUGUGCUCUUCAGCUUUCCCCUGAGAAGUCACUUCUGACAAGAAACACUGGCUACCCGAAGCCAUGGCUAGUGAGGGCCAGCUAAUUACAGGGACCUCCCAUCGUAGGAUCAGGUUGAGGUAAGACCUGGAGCAGGAAUUACCUUAUCAAGGCAGAAAUACGUCAGCAGGCUCAGUCAUGAGCAAAGCUGUCCCCAGAUUUGCAAGAAAAAGACGGCUUAGUGGUGGAUGAUGUGAUGACUGCUCGGAGCCUGAAAAUACAUCGUGUGGCAUCCAGAAGCAGAAUUUUUUCAAGAACCAACAACAAUCUCUAAGGAUGUGUAAUUUGUUGAUUCCACCACUCAUUAGAAAGCCAGCUCCAGUGUGCAGGUCUUUGGAAUCACCUCAGGCGCCUACAGAUUCUAUCUCCAGAGUCAGCAGUGGAGCCCAGGGAUCCUGCACUUACAACAAAUGCUCUCAGAGGAUUGUGGACACAGCGUGGCCUGGCACAUACCCUCAGUGGUGUGCUGGUGAAUGCUUGACAACUUGCUCUCGACGGGGGUAGGGUCCUGAUUUGCAGCCUUUGCUGAUUUCCAGGGUACAAAUGCUUGCACGGUAGCCAAUUUCAAGCUACCGAUGGGAAGAGUCUGAACUCGGAUCUGGGAAGAGACACUCACAACUGGCUCUUGUAACUGGGACCCUCCUGAGAGACACAGCAAUGAAGUGAUAGGUCUUUGGGGGCAGAAGCAGGAGAGGAGGCUAGAUUCAAGGACUCUGCCCACUGCACCACACCAUACCUCCCUGUCCUCUUAGUAAGCAGAAAUCGUGACCGCAGAGCCCACGGGUGAGCCCCUCACACUAAUGGCUUUGACCACAGCCCGAACGAAAUCAGGAAGCAGAAAAGAAACAAACACUUGCAGUCUGUCUUUCCUUCCUCUUCACUUUGCAAUGGAGUCCUUAAGAAUGUGGUCCGGCUGGAGAAAAAAAACCUGAGUGCCCAACUCCUGGGGUUUGUGUUCUUUGAGGGGAAAGCGAAAGAGGCAAGGGAACAAUUCUGGGAAAUGUGGGCAGAGUCCUGGCAAAUUUCAGAGGCCAAAUAGAAGGCAUUUUCGCCAGCUGGCCCUGAACGAUUCUAUGCAGGGCCUCAGAGACACUGUGGCAGGAUGGGGACAGGGAGGCCAGCAGAGUGGUUGGUCAUGCUGGGACAAAGAGGACAAAGAGAAGGCUAUGGUUCCUCUUUUCGUGUUUCAUUCAGGGGCAGCAUAAGAAAACCACAGAUAUUAAGUUCACACGAAAACUACAUUAAAAAAAAUGAAAACAAAAGAAGCAUCUGAUCAGAUCCUCUAGAACGAAGUUUAGAGAUGGCCCUUAUUUAGAGACAUCCCCACACAUAGAGUCAUGUUUCUAAUUAUUCAGGCCUCUGCUGGCUCUUGCUUACUGAGAGCUCCAAUUCACAGAAUCAUGGAAUUAUAGAGUUCAUUGUAGAGAGAAGAAAAACCUGAGGCCCAGAGAGGUAAAAUAAUUUGCCCAAGAUCACACCGCUAUUCAUUCAGCAGCAGUUAGAAUUCAAAUGUCCUAGGUCUAGGCGGGGCCUGGACCUUUAUCUUAUCUAGACCCCUCGACCCUAUAAUGUAUUCUCUCUGAGUUAUCUUCUACUUAAAAUUACUGUAAAAAAAAUGCAUGGCUAUAAAAGAAAAUCUGCAAAAUAGAGACUAUUAAAAAAAUGACAAUAAACAUAACCAUCGUGUUACCAUCCACAGAUGAUGAGAUAGUGA